GAACACAACACCUCAGCUGAGCUGCAGGAGGCUCUGGAAAUCUCCUGAAAUCAGACUCAACUAAAUCACAUUAUCCAGAUCCACAGAAAUCUGAUCAAGCCUGUUUUACUAGAAAUUUAUUGGACCUAGAGUUCUGAUUGGGAUCUUCUUUCUGUUUGGUUAGAAAUAAAAACAUAAUUUAAGAUUUACUUCAGGUAGACAAUCACUCAUCUAGAAAUGAAGCUGAAUAUGUAGAAAUAAAAGUAGAAAUAAUAAAGCUGAAAUAAAAAAAAUCAGAUCUUCUCUCAUUAUUUCCUCAGAUAAAUUCCUGGUUUACAGAGAACUAAACUAAUUCACACAAAAAUGUGUUGACUGGAAAAGAGCUAAAAACUGAACCCAAAACAGAAAAAGUUUAAAUAUGACCAAAGUGUUUAACGGCUCAGUUCAUUGUUGACACAAUGGGAAGAAGAAGACAUCACCACAGGACAGGAGCUUUAACUCACUCUCUCAGGGGGCGGGGCCUCAGGUGAGUCAGGUCUAGUCAGGUAUCAGAUCUGGAGAAACAGGUUCAGACUCCAGUUAGUAACUACAGAACAGAGAGACGAAUCUGGAGGUGGGCUGACUGAAGUCCAGAAGAUGGAAGACUGGAAACUAAAGAAGGACAGAGCAGAUCCUCCAGGAUCCAUCUGUCCUUCUAUGAAGAGUGACCGGUCUAGACAACAAACUCCAGACUUAAAGUAUGAACCUGGACCCUCCCACCAAGCAUCUGCAACUCAGAACAAAAACAUCAGCAGGUCAAAGUAACACUAGAGGACCGGGAGGGAGGAAGAGGAGCAGCGUUGAUGAGGAGGAGCAGCUGUCCUGCUGUGCUUUGUGUCAGGAGGUUCUGGUGGAUCCGGUCUCUACCAGCUGUGGUCACUGGUUCUGCAGACGGUGCAUCAGGUCCUACUGGGACCAGUCUGCUCCAUCUGGACCCUCCUCCUGCCCCCAGUGUGGGAAAAGACCCAGAAUAGGAGCUGGACUGCUGACAGCCAAUCAGAGCAGCUGUGCUCCAGAUGUUGUUCUGCGAGAAGUUCUAGAGGAACACAAGAUCAAUCUGAGGAGGAGAUGUGAAUGUGUGACUGAAGGAAGUGAUGAAACAGGAAGUAGAACCCUCCUCAACAGGAUCUACACUGAUCUCUACAUCACAGAGGGAUGGAGUGAAGAGGUUAAUAC